rnacentral:rRNA from 1 species
GGAUGCGAUCAUACCAGCACUAAAGCACCGGAUCCCAUCAGAACUUUGAAGUUAAGCGUGCUUGGGCGAGAGUAGUACUAGGAUGAGUGACCUCCUGGGAAGUCCUCGUGUUGCAUUCC